CACGGAGCUUGCUCUGUGGGAUCAGUGGCGAACGGGUGAGUAACACGUGAGCAACCUGCCCCUGACUCUGGGAUAAGCGCUGGAAACGGCGUCUAAUACUGGAUAUGUGACGUGACCGCAUGGUCUGCGUCUGGAAAGAAUUUCGGUUGGGGAUGGGCUCGCGGCCUAUCAGCUUGUUGGUGAGGUAAUGGCUCACCAAGGCGUCGACGGGUAGCCGGCCUGAGAGGGUGACCGGCCACACUGGGACUGAGACACGGCCCAGACUCCUACGGGAGGCAGCAGUGGGGAAUAUUGCACAAUGGGCGCAAGCCUGAUGCAGCAACGCCGCGUGAGGGACGACGGCCUUCGGGUUGUAAACCUCUUUUAGCAGGGAAGAAGCGAAAGUGACGGUACCUGCAGAAAAAGCGCCGGCUAACUACGUGCCAGCAGCCGCGGUAAUACGUAGGGCGCAAGCGUUAUCCGGAAUUAUUGGGCGUAAAGAGCUCGUAGGCGGUUUGUCGCGUCUGCUGUGAAAUCCGGAGGCUCAACCUCCGGCCUGCAGUGGGUACGGGCAGACUAGAGUGCGGUAGGGGAGAUUGGAAUUCCUGGUGUAGCGGUGGAAUGCGCAGAUAUCAGGAGGAACACCGAUGGCGAAGGCAGAUCUCUGGGCCGUAACUGACGCUGAGGAGCGAAAGGGUGG
rnacentral:rRNA from 1 species